AUUGAACGCUGGCGGCAGGCUUAACACAUGCAAGUCGAGCGGGGGAAGGUAGCUUGCUACCGGACCUAGCGGCGGACGGGUGAGUAAUGCUUAGGAAUCUGCCUAUUAGUGGGGGACAACAUCUCGAAAGGGAUGCUAAUACCGCAUACGUCCUACGGGAGAAAGCAGGGGAUCUUCGGACCGUGCGCUAAUAGAUGAGCCUAAGUCGGAUUAGCUAGUUGGUGGGGUAAAGGACUACCAAGGCGACGAUCUGUAGCGGGUCUGAGAGGAUGAUCCGCCACACUGGGACUGAGACACGGCCCAGACUCCUACGGGAGGUAGCAGUGGGGAAUAUUGGACAAUGGGGGGAACCCUGAUCCAGCCAUGCCGCGUGUGUGAAGAAGGCCUUAUGGUUGUAAAGCACUUUAAGCGAGGAGGAGGCUACUUUAGUUAAUACCUAGAGAUAGUGGACGUUACUCGCAGAAUAAGCACCGGCUAACUCUGUGCCAGCCGCCGCCGUAA
rnacentral:rRNA from 1 species